rnacentral:rRNA from 1 species
GACGAACGCUGGCGGCGUGCUUAACACAUGCAAGUCGAACGGAAAGGCCCUGCUUUUGUGGGGUGCUCGAGUGGCGAACGGGUGAGUAACACGUGAGUAACCUGCCCUUGACUUUGGGAUAACUUCAGGAAACUGGGGCUAAUACCGGAUAGGAGCUCCUGCUGCAUGGUGGGGGUUGGAAAGUUUCGGCGGUUGGGGAUGGACUCGCGGCUUAUCAGCUUGUUGGUGGGGUAGUGGCUUACCAAGGCUUUGACGGGUAGCCGGCCUGAGAGGGUGACCGGCCACAUUGGGACUGAGAUACGGCCCAGACUCCUACGGGAGGCAGCAGUGGGGAAUAUUGCACAAUGGGCGGAAGCCUGAUGCAGCAACGCCACGUGCGGGAUGACGGCCUUCGGGUUGUAAACCGCUUUCGCCUGUGACGAAGCGUGAGUGACGGGAAUGGGUAAAGAAGCACCGGCUAACUACG